UCGAACGAUGAAACUUAAAAGAUUUCUUCGGAAUGAACUUAAGUGAAUUAGUGGCGAACGGGUGAGUAACGCGUGAGUAACCUGCCUUACACAAGGGGAUAGCCUCUGGAAACGGAGAAUAAUACCCUAUGAAACUAUCUUAUCGCAUGAAAAGAUAGUCAAAGUGUUUUAGCGGUGUAAGAUGGACUUGCGUCUGAUUAGCUAGUUGGUGAGAUAACAGCCCACCAAGGCAACGAUCAGUAGCCGGCUUGAGAGAGUGUACGGCCACAUUGGGACUGAGACACGGCCCAGACUCCUACGGGAGGCAGCAGUGGGGAAUUUUGCACAAUGGGGGCAACCCUGAUGCAGCGACGCCGCGUGAUUUAGAAGGCCUUCGGGUUGUAAAAAUCUUUUGUAUAGGAAGAAAAUGACAGUACUAUACGAAUAAGGUCCGGCUAAUUACGUGCCAGCAGCCGCGGUAAUACGUAAGGACCGAGCGUUGUCCGGAAUCAUUGGGCGUAAAGGGUACGUAGGCGGUUAGAAAAGUUAGAAGUGAAAGGCUAUAGCUCAACUAUAGUAAGCUUUUAAAACUGUUUAACUUGAGAGAUGGAAGGGAAAGUGGAAUUCCUAGUGUAGCGGUGAAAUGCGCAGAUAUUAGGAGGAAUACCGGUGGCGAAGGCGACUUUCUGGCCAUUAUCUGACGCUGAGGUACGAAAGCGUGGGUAGCAAACAGGAUUA
rnacentral:rRNA from 2 species